rnacentral:rRNA from 1 species
UCGAUUUGGAGUUUGUUGCCCUGAGUGAUGGGCUCCGAAGCUAACGCGAUAAAUCGACCGCCUGGGGAGUACGGCCGCAAGGUUAAAACUCAAAUGAAUUGACGGGGGCCCGCACAAGCGGUGGAGCAUGUGGUUUAAUUCGAUGCAACGCGAAGAACCUUACCUGGUCUUGACAUCCAUAGAAUUCUGCAGAGAUGUGGAAGUGCCUUCGGGAGCUAUGAGACGGGUGCUGCAUGGCUGUCGUCAGCUCGUGUUGUGAAAUGUUGGGUUAAGUCCCGCAACGAGCGCAACCCUUAUCCUUUGUUGCCAGCGAUUAGGUCGGGAACUCAAAGGAGACUGCCGUUGAUAAAGCGGAGGAAGGUGGGGACGACGUCAAGUCAUCAUGGCCCUUACGACCAGGGCUACACACGUGCUACAAUGGCGUAUACAAAGGGAGGCGACCUCGCGAGAGCAAGCGGACCUCAUAAAGUACGUCUAAGUCCGGAUUGGAGUCUGCAACUCGACUCCAUGAAGUCGGAAUCGCUAGUAAUCGUGAAUCAGAAUGUCACGGUGAAUACGUUCCCGGGCCU